GAUGAAGAACGCAGCGAAAUGCGAUAAGUAAUGUGAAUUGCAGAAUUCAGUGAAUCAUCGAAUCUUUGAACGCACAUUGCGCCCGCCAGUAUUCUGGCGGGCAUGCCUGUUCGAGCGUCAUUUCAACCAUCAAGCCCCCGGCUUGUGUUGGGGACCUGCGGCUGCCGCAGGCCCUGAAAAGCAGUGGCGGGCUCGCUGUCACACCGAGCGUAGUAGCAUACAUCUCGCUCUGGGCGUGCUGCGGGUUCCGGCCGUUAAACCACCUUCAUAACCAAGGUUGACCUCGGAUCAGGUAGGAAGACCCGCUGAACUUAAGCAUAUCAAUAAGCGGAGGA
rnacentral:misc_RNA from 1 species